rnacentral:rRNA from 1 species
UACGGGGGGUGCAAGCGUUGUUCGGAAUCAUUGGGCGUAAAGCGCGUGUAGGCGGCUUGACAAGUCAGAUGUGAAAUCCCUGGGCUUAACCCAGGAAGUGCAUUUGAAACUGUCUGGCUCGAGUAAGGGAGAGGAAAGUGGAAUUCCUGGUGUAGAGGUGGAAUUCGUAGAUAUCAGGAGGAACACCGGUGGCGAAGGCGACUUUCUGGCCCUAUACUGACGCUGAGACGCGAAAGCGUGGGUAGCAAACAGGAUUAGAUACCCUGGUAGUCCACGCUGUAAACGAUGUUCACUAGGUGUUGGGGGUAUCGACCCUUUCAGUGCCGCAGCUAACGCAUUAAGUGAACCGCCUGGGGAGUACGGUCGCAAGAUUAAA